AAAUGAAUAGACGGGGGCCCGCACAAGCAGUGGAUUAUGUGGUUUAAUUCGAAGCAACGCGAAGAACCUUACCAGGUCUUGACAUACCACGAGUAGCAUGGAGACAUGUGAUGCCCUUCGGGGCGUGGAUACAGGUGGUGCAUGGUUGUCGUCAGCUCGUGUCGUGAGAUGUUGGGUUAAGUCCCGCAACGAGCGCAACCCUUACUAUUAGUUGCUACGCAAGAGCACUCUAAUGGGACUGCCGUUGACAAAACGGAGGAAGGUGGGGAUGAUGUCAAAUCAUCAUGCCCUUUAUGACCUGGGCUACACACGUAAUACAAUGGCGACGCACAAAGGGAAGCCAAGGAGCGAUCUGGAGCAAACCCCAAAAAGUCGUCUCAGUUCGGAUUGCAGGCUGCAACCCGCCUGCAUGAAGUCGGAAUUGCUAGUAAUCGUGGAUCAUCACGCCACGGUGAAUACGUUCCCGGGCCUUGUACACACCGCCCGU
rnacentral:rRNA from 1 species